CUCCUACGGGGGGCAGCAGUGGGGAAUAUUGCACAAUGGGGGAAACCCUGAUGCAGCGACGCCGCGUGAGUGAAGAAGUAUUUCGGUAUGUAAAGCUCUAUCAGCAGGGAAGAAAAUGACGGUACCUGACUAAGAAGCCCCGGCUAACUACGUGCCAGCAGCCGCGGUAAUACGUAGGGGGCAAGCGUUAUCCGGAUUUACUGGGUGUAAAGGGAGCGUAGACGGCAGCGCAAGUCUGGAGUGAAAUCCCAUGGCUUAACCAUGGAACUGCUUUGGAAACUGUAUGGCUGGAGUGCAGGAGAGGG
rnacentral:rRNA from 1 species